GUGGGGAAUAUUGGACAAUGGGCGCAAGCCUGAUCCAGCCAUGCCGCGUGUGUGAAGAAGGCCUUUUGGUUGUAAAGCACUUUAAGCGAGGAGGAGGCUCCUUUAGUUAAUACCUAAAGAGAGUGGACGUUACUCGCAGAAUAAGCACCGGCUAACUCUGUGCCAGCAGCCGCGGUAAUACAGAGGGUGCGAGCGUUAAUCGGAUUUACUGGGCGUAAAGCGUGCGUAGGCGGCUUUUUAAGUCGGAUGUGAAAUCCCUGAGCUUAACUUAGGAAUUGCAUUCGAUACUGGAAAGCUAGAGUAUGGGAGAGGAUGGUAGAAUUCCAGGUGUAGCGGUGAAAUGCGUAGAGAUCUGGAGGAAUACCGAUGGCGAAGGCAGCCAUCUGGCCUAAUACUGACGCUGAGGUACGAAAGCAUGGGGAGCAAACAGGAUUAGAAACCCGGGUAGCC
rnacentral:rRNA from 1 species